rnacentral:rRNA from 2 species
AGCUUGCCUCUUUUUCGGCAAGCGGCAAACGGGUGAGUAAUAUCUGGGGAUCUACCCAAAAGAGGGGGAUAACUACUAGAAAUGGUAGCUAAUACCGCAUAAUGUUGAAAAAACCAAAGUGGGGGACCAUUCCGGCCUCAUGCUUUUGGAUGAACCCAGACGAGAUUAGCUUGUUGGUAGAGUAAUAGCCUACCAAGGCAACGAUCUCUAGCUGGUCUGAGAGGAUAACCAGCCACACUGGAACUGAGACACGGUCCAGACUCCUACGGGAGGCAGCAGUGGGGAAUAUUGCACAAUGGGCGAAAGCCUGAUGCAGCUAUGCCGCGUGUAUGAAGAAGGCCUUAGGGUUGUAAAGUACUUUCAGCGGGGAGGAAAAAAAUAAAACUAAUAAUUUUAUUUCGUGACGUUACCCGCAGAAGA